UACGUAGGGUGCGAGCGUUGUCCGGAAUUAUUGGGCGUAAAGGGCUCGUAGGCGGUUUGUCGCGUCGGGAGUGAAAACCUUGGGCUUAACUCAGGGCUUGCUUUCGAUACGGGCAGACUAGAGGUAUGCAGGGGAGAACGGAAUUCCUGGUGUAGCGGUGAAAUGCGCAGAUAUCAGGAGGAACACCGGUGGCGAAGGCGGGUCUCUGGGCAAUAACUGACGCUGAGGAGCGAAAGCGUGGGGAGCGAACAGG
rnacentral:rRNA from 1 species